UUACGGCCACAUCACAUUGAAACAUUGAUUCCCGUACGAUCAUCGAAGUUAAGGAAUGUCAAGCCUGCUCAGUAGCUAGAUGGGUGACCGCUUGGUAAUAUCUGGUGCUGUAA